rnacentral:lncRNA from 1 species
UAUGGCAAUGUAAACAAUAUGUUCCCAUGCCAAUAAGCCACUUGAAUUGAAUUGUGAUGGUGUGGUUUGUGAGAGAGAGAGAGAGAAAGAGAGAGAGAGAAAGGGAGAGAGAGAGAGAGAUAGAAAGAGAGAGAGAGAGAGAGAGUGAGCAAGUAAGAAAGGAAGAGAGCAAGAGAGCAAGGACGUCCCCAUUCAUGCACUGUGGGGUGCUGUGUCGUUUUGCAAUGUGCCCCUGCCGUGAAUAUUUCUGUCUCGGUCUUGGUUUGGUAUUUUGAUGUAUUAUUGGCUAUGGAGACAUUCUGCGUUGGUGUUCUUCCUGAACCAAGUAUUGUCUAGGAAUAUAUAUAUAUAUGCAAUACAGCCUGUGAUAAGAGCUUGACCAGUGCCGACUCAAAUCAGGGAGGAGAGCCGUUGUCUCUCUCGGGCUGACAGUGCUGGAAAGACUGCACAACUGUGUGAAUUAAUUAAGACUGAAUCGAAAGACUGGUGAGUAUUUUGCCUGCACAUGUAGCCUAAGCUUUCUAGUCAUUUGAUGGUGAUGCUUGCUUACCCCUCUACACCGAUUCUACUUUAAUUUUGUGAUUUGCAGGGGUGCUCGCAAAAUAUGCACAUUUUCUGCCAAGGCAUUGGAGUGUAGACUAUAGAAACCACUGCACCUGCAUGUACCGUAUUUCGCUUUCAACCGGGAAAGGUUUAUUGGAAAGGUCCGGACUGGUCUGGGCGCAUUCUCUGAAAUAUAACGGAGAUGCCACGGUUACGCGUAGAAGCCACUCGACGAAGAGACAGGUGCGAUGGAGAGGCUUGAUGGAGGGGCUUGAUGUUAGGCUAGCUGCGGGGAUAGCGGUUCUCAACAAGUGCCCGUGCUGUGCUGCCAUGACGACCAUGGCCCCUCCCCUCAUGUUUCUCCUCCUGCUCCUUCAAUUGGCUCACAGCUCUUUCCCAGAGGAGCCCGGUCCUCUAAGCUAUGCUCCCUUAGAGGUGGUGAGGAGGUAUCCUGUGUUUGUGGGUAGAGCUCAUCGUUCCUCACAGAGACAGGAGCUGCACAUUCACACAGUGCUCCAGGUGAACCGCACACUCUACAUAGGAGCCAGGUAA